UACGUAGGGGGCUAGCGUUGUCCGGAUUUAUUGGGCGUAAAGGGCUCGUAGGUGGCCAACUAAGUCAGACGUGAAAUCCCUCGGCUUAACCGGGGAACUGCGUCUGAUACUGGAUGGCUUGAGUUUGGGAGAGGGAUGCGGAAUUCCAGGUGUAGCGGUGAAAUGCGUAGAUAUCUGGAGGAACACCCGUGGCGAAGGCGGCUCUCUGGGACGGUACUGACGCUGAGACGCGAAAGCGUGGGGAGCGAACAGG
rnacentral:rRNA from 1 species